AAAGAUACCGGAUCCUUGCUUCAAUGUUGUCAGUGAAAAUGUGCUGGAGACUGUUCAGAAAGGACCCCAUUCAUUUAAGAAGGUUGAGUAUACCCUGCAGUUGAACCUUGAAGGGCGGAUCUACUCCGCCUCGGCCCACACCAAGAAGGCGGCUAAGACACUCUGUGCAAGCGAGGCCUGGGACUUUGUUCGUCAAACUUUGGGACAAUAAACUUACUUUAUUUCCCUGCUGCAACUAGGGGUGUAAAAUCUGAUACUUUAUUUCCCUGCUGCAACCUGAGCAAGCAGGGGCUAUAAAAAGAUUUUUUCACCCAAACUUCAUUUUGUAAGUCGCUCACAGUGUUCCAUCUUUUCCGCCCAUUUUUCUUUUCUCCAUUUUUUGUUUUUACUCUGAAAAGCAGUUGCAGUUAAAAUGAGCAGCGUUUUCAGAGGAAUAAAAGGAAUAGUUUUUAAACCUUAACGCAAAUUUAUAAUUUAUAAAAUAAAAAAGUCUUGUACAUAUUGAUUGUUCCAGUGUAUUGUACAAUUUUUGGUUUCAUCCAAAUGUUUAGUUUUUAACAGUGAGUGUGUAGUUUUUUCUUGGCACUUAUGUUAUAUUGUACAUGUGGUGUGUAUAUCUUCACGUAUAUGUACUUUCAGCUAAAUAUCACUUUAUCAGGUUUUAUUCUAAUAAAGUGUAAUAGGGUUUACUGUACUCUACACUUAACCUUGAAAACUUGUACAACUUAAACAAAAUUUUAAUGUCGUCUUUACAACUUUGUGUUUAGAAAAUUUAAUGUCAUUUUAUAUCUGUUAAAUUUCACCUUAAUCAAUUAAUUUGUAAAUUAAU
rnacentral:lncRNA from 1 species